UCUUCCCCCCAAAUAACAGGUACGUGAUGUCUGCUUCCCUUCCCCUGCCGGCCCUGCCAUCAACUGACCACUGACAAGUUUAUUCGUGGCUGACGUGGAGUGAACAUCAGUGGCCGGGGAGGUUAAUUCGUGCUGUUUGGAGAGAGGCCAUUAACACCUUUUCAUUAUCCGCGGCAGGGAAGGUCAAAGGAAUGGGCUCGUCAGUACCCCGCAGCAUCUGUCCUCAGGUGAGAGAUGAGAGCUACUCGAGAUAAUUACCAGAUACUAGGUUACCUGAAACUCCUGCAGAAGAAACAUCGACUGAAACUACCGAAAUUCCAGCCAAAAGGCAUGAGAUGCCAAUGCCACCUCUCUGAGCUGGUGUCACCCAGAGACCUGAGCUUCAGGAAGAGUCAGGCUAUUGGACACAAGUCUUAUGGACCUAACAAGAACUACAGCUGAAGAGAGGUGCCAUGGUGGGCUGCCAGGAGUAUCUUCACCAUGAAUGAGGUCAGGUUCUGAAGGUUCAGCUGCAGGGAAUUGAUGCAGACCAGUGUGUGCCACUUCAAGAUGUUGGGGUUCUUGAAGUGUAUCUUCUGUACAUCUCCAGUACACGACAAACAGCUCCUGAAGUUUGGCUGACAGGAGGAGUGUUACACCACUGUGUGCAGGUCAUCCCUUCCCCAGGCCACUACAGACAGGUGUUGGAGGGCUCCACAGCAGACAUGGUCCACCAUUCCCCACACCGAUAGCAGUCCUCCACCCAGG